GUACACCUUUCGAUGGUUCCCCACCAACACUGGCCACUUUGGAGAUGUCCUGGCAAGUGGAAAAUAUCCAGAUCUUUGUUUCUGGCGUGGAGAAACUUAAAAGACUGGUCACACACAAGAGACAGAGUGCAAAGUAAAAGGGUUUGCUGUUGAGCACUGUGCUUCGUGAGCUUGUGAGCUGUGGGGAUAAGGUUCUUCUUUGUAUUGUUUUACAAUCUAGGUAUAUCUGUUUAACAUGAAAUGCAGAAAAUGACAGGGCUCAGACAGCUACUGCAUCCAGUGACAAAGAUUACUGUCAUCCUGGCUCAUCAGUUAAUUCAUCAUUGGCAAUGGUCCAUUCCAUUUCCUGGUAGCCUAGCAACAGCCAAUGAUGGGGAGGGCUGCUUGCCAUGUGACAAUGGUACAAGGAGGAAUUUUCCCAGGUGACACAGGGUGUUGGAGUAAUGGUAUCUGGCCUGAGACUCCUACAACUUUUCUGGUUCCUGCUGAAUCACAGGACCAAGAUGACUGGCUGCGUCAGCAAAGGGUUCAAGUUCUGACUGGUAGUUUGGACACGGAAAUGGGGUGCAAGCAUCCCUUACACCUGCUGGUAGGCUCUGGAGAGUUGUUUGGGAUUUCUCCAGCACUUCCACAGAGGUGGCUGUAUUUCCACAUUGAGUGAAUCUGCAAAACAGUCUACAGCCUGUACACACUGGGCAAUCAUGAGGAAUUCUUCAAAACAACCUCAGAGUGGAUGCUUGGCUGAAGAUAAACUCACUAGGCAUAGCUUCUGACCAUUUGAAAAGCAGUUGCUCACGCUCCAAGUGGCCAGUGCAUUUCAAGGACAUUGUUGUUGUCCACUUCAGAUGCUUUUCGGGUCUUACAAACAACAAAAGCCCAAUUAAGAAAAUCGAGUGAAGACCAGAAGCCAUCUGUGUCCAAUUUGCAAACUCUUCUUCACGGCUGAAAGUGAAGCUGGUACCAGUUUUCAUUCUACAAAAAGGAACAGUAGAAAAAUGAUAACAGGGGAUUGAGGCUGUGAAGUUCAGUCAAACUCAGGUGGCCAAAGUGGCCUGAAACUUCACCAUUUGGGACACAUUGCAGGCAUCUUCUGAAUAUGAAAUUUAUAAACACUCUCUUGCUAGCAUACAAGCAUUUUCAGUGAGAACCUCAACAUAUAGCUUCUUCCCAACACAGACAUCUGAGGACAAAGCAUUGGACAAUGGAGACCAUGCAGGUGGAUGAGCAACCCAGAAUAUUUCAACUUGCUGAACCAAUGAAGAGACCAUAUGUAUACAUACAUAUAUUGCUUCCUACAAUUGACUAAAGAUGAGUAGAUGAGUAAAAUUCAACCCACUCUAGGGUCCUUCUGUUGCGCCAAAUGAGUUGAUGACAACGAUGUAAUAAAUUUCUAGCCUCUGAUC